GACAGAGGGUGCAAACGUUGUUCGGAAUUACUGGGCGUAAAGCGCGUGUAGGCGGCUCGGCAAGUCGGAUGUGAAAGCCCUGGGCUUAACCUAGGAAGUGCAUUCGAAACUGCCAAGCUUGAGUUCUGGAGAGGAAGGCGGAAUUCUCGGUGUAGAGGUGAAAUUCGUAGAUAUCGAGAGGAACACCGGUGGCGAAGGCGGCCUUCUGGACAGCAACUGACGCUGAGGAGCGAAAGCGUGGGGAGCGAACAGG
rnacentral:rRNA from 1 species